rnacentral:rRNA from 1 species
AGCGAACGUUGGCGGCAGGCCUAACACAUGCAAGUCGAGCGGCCGUAGCAAUACGGCAGCGGCAGACGGGAGAGUAACACGUGGGAACGCGCCCUUCGGUCUGGAAUAACCCAGGGAAACUUGGGCUAAUACCGGAUACGCCCUUACGGGGAAAGAUUUAUUGCCGAAGGAACGGCCCGCGUCCGAUUAGCUAGUUGGUGAGGUAACGGCUCACCAAGGCGACGAUCGGUAGCUGGUCUGAGAGGAUGACCAGCCUCACUGGGACUGAGACACGGCCCAGACUCCUACGGGAGGCAGCAGUGGGGAAUAUUGGACAAUGGGCGCAAGCCUGAUCCAGCCAUGCCGCGUGGGUGAUGAAGGCCCUAGGGUUGUAAAGCCCUUUCAGCGGGGAAGAUAAUGACGGUACCCGCAGAAGAAGCCCCGGCUAACUUCGUGCCAGCCGCCGCCGUAAUAC